AUUCAACGCUGGCGGCAGGACUAACACAUGCAAGUCGAGCGAGCGGUGGACGGGUGAGUAAUGUCUGGGAAACUGCCUGACGGAGGGGGAUAACUACUGGAAACGGUAGCUAAUACCGCAUACCAUCAGAUGUGCCCAGAUGGGCUUAGUUCGUAGGUGGCGUAACGGCUCACCUAGGCGACGAUCCCUAGCUGGUCUGAGAGGAUGACCAGCCACAUUGGAACUGAGCCACGAUCCAGACGCCUACGGAAGGCAGCAGUGGGGAAUAUUGCACAAGGGGCGCAAGCCUGAUGCAUCCAUGCCGCGUGUGUGAAGAAGGCCUUCGGUUUGUAAAGCACUUUCAGCGGGGAGGCGUUACCCGCAGAAGAAGCACCGUCUAACUCCGUGCCAGCAGCCGCGGUAAUUC
rnacentral:rRNA from 1 species